CACUGGUACAACCCUGUCCAAUCUCACACUUGGUUAAAUUUAUCCUUUACGAAGAGAGUAUUUAUAGCUUUGCUCUGGAUUUACUGGGUCACUGAUGAGAAGCUGACAGACGGUGACACUAAUUCCAGCUUAAUCCCAAACAGUAAUAAUUCCAUAACCUUCAACAGGACAAGUAAUGGUGACGAUUAAUCCCUCCGUGGCUGGGCUUUUAAC